GGCGCAUUCGUCUAGUGGCCUAGGACACCGCCCUCUCAAGGCGGAGAUCACGGGUUCGAAACCCGUAUGCGCCACCA
rnacentral:tRNA from 1 species